rnacentral:rRNA from 1 species
UAGGCGGAGAUUCCAGGUAAAUCCGGAGUCUUGCUAACGCUGAGGUGUGAUGACGAGGCACUACGGUGCUGAAGUAACAAAUGCCCUGCUUCCAGGAAAAGCCUCUAAGCAUCAGGUAACACGAAAUCGUACCCCAAACCGACACAGGUGGUCAGGUAGAGAAUACCAAGGCGCUUGAGAGAACUCGGGUGAAGGAACUAGGCAAAAUGGUGCCGUAACUUAGGGAGAAGGCACGCUGAUAUGUAGGUGAAGUGAUUUACUCAUGGAGCUGAAAUCAGUCGAAGAUACCAGCUGGCUGCAACUGUUUAUUAAAAACACAGCACUGUGCAAACACGAAAGUGGACGUAUACGGUGUGACGCCUGCCCGGUGCCGGAAGGUUAAUUGAUGGGGUUAUCCGUAAGGAGAAGCUCUUGAUCGAAGCCCCGGUAAACGGCGGCCGUAACAAUAACGGUCCUAAGGUAGCGAAAUUCCUUGUCGGGUAAGUUCCGACCUGCACGAAUGGCGUAAUGAUGGCCAGGCUGUCUCCACCCGAGACUCAGUGAAAUUGAACUCGCUGUGAAGAUGCAGUGUACCCGCGGCAAGACGGAAAGACCCCGUGAACCUUUACUAUAGCUUGACACUGAACACUGGUCCUUGAUGUGUAGGAUAGGUGGGAGGCUUUGAAGUGUGGACGCCAGUCUGCAUGGAGCCAACCUUGAAAUACCACCCUUUAAUGGCUGGUGUUCUAACGUAGACCCGUAAUCCGGGUUGCGGACAGUGUCUGGUGGGUAGUUUGACUGGGGCGGUCUCCUCCUAAAGAGUAACGGAGGAGCACGAAGGUUAGCUAAUCCUGGUCGGACAUCAGGAGGUUAGUGCAAAGGCAUAAGCUAGCUUGACUGCGAGAGUGACGGCUCGAGCAGGUGCGAAAGCAGGUCUUAGUGAUCCGGUGGUUCUGAAUGGAAGGGCCAUCGCUCAACGGAUAAAAGGUACUCCGGGGAUAACAGGCUGAUACCGCCCAAGAGUUCAUAUCGACGGCGGUGUUUGGCACCUCGAUGUCGGCUCAUCACAUCCUGGGGCUGAAGUAGGUCCCAAGGGUAUGGCUGUUCGCCAUUUAAAGUGGUACGCGAGCUGGGUUUAGAACGUCGUGAGACAGUUCGGUCCCUAUCUGCCGUGGGCGCUGGAGAAUUGAGGGGGGCUGCUCCUAGUACGAGAGGACCGGAGUGGACGCAUCACUGGUGUUCGGGUUGUCAUGCCAAUGGCAUUGCCCGGUAGCUAAAUGCGGAAGAGAUAAGUGCUGAAAGCAUCUAAGCACGAAACUUGCCCCGAGAUGAGUUCUCCCUGACCCUUUAAGGGUCCUGAAGGAACGUUGAAGACGACGACGUUGAUAGGUCGGGUGUGUAAGCGUAGCGAUACGUUGAGCUAACCGAUACUAAUGAACCGUGAGGCUUAACCU